rnacentral:ncRNA from 1 species
GUUGUUGCAAUAGUAAUUGAACUUAGUACGAGAGGAACCGUUCAUUCGGAUAUUUGGUAUUUGGACCUGCCUGAACAGGCAAUGGCCCGAAGCUAUCAUCCGUUGGAUUAUGGCUGAACGCCUCUAAGUCAGGAUCCGUGCUAGAACGCGACAAU